AAUUGUUCGCAAUGGGCGCAAGCCUGACGACGCAACGCCGCGUGGAGGACGAAGACCUUCGGGUCGUAAACUCCUUUCGAUCGAGACGAAUGGCCUCCGGGUGAAUAAUCCGGAGGAAUGACGGUACCGAGAGAAGAAGCCCCGGCUAACUCCGUGCCAGCAGCCGCGGUAAUACAGAGGUGGCAAGCGUUGUCCGGAUUUAUUGGGCGUAAAGAGCUCGUAGGCGGUUCGGUAAGUCGGGUGUGAAAACUUUGGGCUUAACCCAAAGCCUGCAUCCGAUACUGCUGUGACUAGAGUUCGGUAGGGGAGCGGGGAAUUCCUAGUGUAGCGGUGAAAUGCGCAGAUAUUAGGAGGAACACCGGUGGCGAAGGCGCCGCUCUGGGCCGAUACUGACGCUGAGGAGCGAAAGCGUGGGUAGCAAAC
rnacentral:rRNA from 1 species